GCAUAGUUCAGUCAGCUAUUGAGGGGCCUAAUCCCACAUGUUGUCUACUGGAGUCAAUUUCCACUUGAUAGUAAGAAGCAUGUAUGCAUCUGUGAAGAAAGUAAGUGGAAUUGCAUUAUCAUUAGAUGGAUAAUUUGCAUAUAUUUACGUUAUUUGGCCUAAAUUAUGAUUUAUUUCUUUCACCAUGACUUAUUUGUGUAAGCCAUGGCUUAUUAAUGCUAGCUACAGUUUAUGUGCGGUAUAGCUACAUGUUAUGUAUCAGAUAUUGGUAAGUUUAAAUCCACCUCAUCCUACUGACAUUCAUCUUAUUGAAAGGUCAUCAGUAGUGCACUUUUUUUUACCAUCUUUGAGAAGCCAUCAAGAAGAGUACAUUUUGACUCAAUCUCACUGGGACUGCAGCCAGAGGCCACAUUUACCCCUAAAUCAAACUGGAAGUACAUCCUAAGUUCAUAUAUAUAUAUAUAUAUAUAUAUAUAUAUAUAUAUAUAUAUAUAUUUAUUUAUUUUUUUACAUGAGUCUCAUUUGAAUUGCCUCCAGGGAGCACAAUUUUAACUUUAUCUCAUUGUAUUUGCAUCUGAAAGGCACUUUUUUUGCCCACACUCCCAAGCAGUGCAUCCAGAGGACACAUUUUUUACCAGUUAACCUCCCAGAUGAUACUUUCAUCUGUCUUAUAAGUGGGUAGUGGCCAUGUCUAAUUUUGUUAUCCAAGAGAGGAGCCUUCCUGUUGGGUUAUCACAUUUCCCUUGGUUUACGUCCAACAACUCUUUGAUCACACUGAUUUGAAAUGUUCAAUAUUGAACAUAAUUAAUCUUUACCAUUGGAAAUCCUGUUGUAUUGGAGGGAGCCUCUAAGGACAGCUGAGCACACACUCUGUGGACUGUCUUGUAGUGUGAAAUAUUGGCUAGAAAGAAGGCAAGCUGACUGACAAAGGAAACACAACAAAUGUGGUCUUUGUGACAAUAUCAACAUUAAACUAGAUGGAAAUCUGCGCUAACGGACCAAGUUGAUGAUAUGUGGAAGCAUCACAAAUUUUAAAACACCAUAUUCUGUGAAACCUUAGAUGAUCAAGCUGACAAGGAGAGGAGUCAUACAGGUAUCUAAGCAACCGGUGCUGUUGCUUGACAGCUGUCCUAUUGUUCGGCCUGUUUGUUUACUCUAAAGUCACGUUUAGCCCUGAGAGAUUUUUGUGAUAAUUUUUCUGAGAGAUUUUCUGAGAAAAGAGGCUCUAAUUGUUGCUGACAGGAAACUGUUAGUUUGAGGUGUGUCUUCUUGGUCAUGUAUUGUUGGUCUACUUUAUUGCAAAUGAUCAAUAAUCUAUUUUACAAGAUUUAGAAAAGGGUGUUUACUGUGCAGUCUCUUUGGUGAUUAGACUCCAUCGUCAUAUCUUCAAAUGAGUGAUGGGGUAAUGAUAUUCCCUAACUCCUUUCCUCUCAUGCAGGGUAGGAUGGCAGGUGGACAUCUACAGAUUUACACCUGGAGACUGGUGAUAACGUGUGGAGGUGACUGAGGUGGUGGAGGGUUGCAGUAGAAAUGCUGAAACACCAAACUGAAGGAGAAGUGAGUCCUUUGAAAACUUGUCCUUUGCAAGUUUUAAUCCAGUCUCUCCAAAUUUGCAAACCCUUGACCACCAUUUUAAGUGAUUACUAAAGUUGGUCCCUUAUUCAAGAGCUGCUUAAUGGAUGCUUUUGAUCCUUCUGAGAGCAUUUCUGGUCUGAUUUUUGAGCAAUCUGAGCAGAUUAAAGGAUAAGUCCGAUUGAAAAAGAUCCCUGAGAUGAAAUAAGUUGAACAGAAAUUCAUUCUUUUCGUCCUCUUGAUGAAGUUACACUUAAAAAAAAACAUGGAAAACACUCAAAAUAAUGCAUUAACCUCCCUUAUAUAUUACUAUUGAGCUGCCUGCCUUACUUGAGAAGGCUGAGCAUGUUAUGUAUCCUUCAACAUCUUCAGAAACUUGCUGCAGAUACUAGUCUCCACUAGUUCUUUUUUUGCUAUGAUCACUGGAAAGGAAGCAGGGAGAGAAGGGAAGAAAAAACUUCCUAGUAAUUAUGCAGAGUUGUUUUUUAUGUGCAUUUUAUAGGUCUUAUGAGUGAUGCAUGAAUUUCCCAAAGGAUCAAUUAUCUAUCUAUCUAUCUAUCUAUCUAUUUUUGGAAAAAGCACUUUGAAGUAAGCUACAAUCAUAACGACAGUUUCACGGUACAUCAAAGCUCUAUUGCAUAUUUGCAAAAAGUAAUGACACUCUUAAGACAUUUAAUUCACUGUUUAAAAUCUUGUUUUUCUCCCAGCUGUAUUGUGCCACAAAAUGAGUGGUUGUUUUGUCUUGGUUUGAGCCAAAGUGGUCAAAAUAUGAAAAUGCGUUUCCACAAAUCAUGUUAUAACAGUAACAACCACAAAAUGACAUCCUUGUGAAAAGGCAAAAUCAAAAACAAAUACGCAUCUCAAAACAGUGAAAAAUCCUGUCCACUGUAGACUAUAUUGUAAGUUCUUAGUGUCAUGGACUUCCUGUUUGUCUUGUUGGUCUAUCAAGAGAUGCUUUACAAACAGUACCUGAUGUUUUCUUUUGCAAUGUACAAGAGAAAAACAAUCUCUUUAAUUAAAUUUAUUAUUACUUCCACCUGACAGGUCCUCAAAAGGUUUACAGUGGUAGACAUCACUUAAAGACUAAAACCCACAGGAUCUGUGUUGAGUGCGUUCUGUUAGCGUUGCGUCUCUGCUCAAUUAGACAACAGGCUUGAUAUUCCACAAGAUCCAUGUUGAAGCGUGGCAGCAGCAUAACACAGCCCCGAUCAGCUGGGCUCAAUUAAUCGAAGACAACAUGUUCACACAACUUUUUUUUUUACCUUUCUGUGGUUGAUUUUCUGCUCAUUUAAAUUCUAUUCCAACUGUUGACGGUUGGGCUUCUAUACUGUAUGUGAAAAAACAAUGUGAUUUUAAAGUUUUGGUUUUUGCAGGUUUAUAUAUGUUUAGUAAAUUAUGUUCCUUUGUGCUGUGCUGUAACUGGAGACAGAGUUAGCAGCUAAAAGCCUUUUGGGAUAUAUAUAUAUAUAUAUAUGUGUGUAUAUAUGUAUAUUUAUAUAUAUAUAUAUAUAUAUAUAUAUAUAUAUAUAUAUAUACUCACCGGCCACUUUAUUAGGUACACCUGUCCAACUGCUCGUUAACACUUAAUUUCUAAUCAGCCAAUCACAUGGCGGCAACUUAGUGCAUUUAGGCAUGUAGACAUGGUCAAGACAAUCUCCCGCAGUUCAAACCGAGCAUCAGUAUGGGGAAGAAAGGUGAUUUGAGUGACUUUGAACGUGGCAUGGUUGUUGGUGCCAGAAGGGCUGGUCUGAGUAUUUCAGAAACUGCUGAUCUACUGGGAUUUUCACGCACAACCAUCUCUAGGGUUUACAGAGAAUGGUCCGAAAAAGAAAAAAUAUCCAGUGAGCGGCAGUUCUGUGGGCGGAAAUGCCUUGUUGAUGCCAGAGGUCAGAGGAGAAUGGCCAGACUGGUUCAAGCUGAUAGAAAGGCAACAGUGACUCAAAUAACCACCCGUUACAACCAAGGUAGGCAGAAGAGCAUCUCUGAACGCACAGUACGUUGAACUUUGAGGCAGAUGGGCUACAGCAGCAGAAGACCACGCCGGGUGCCACUCCUUUCAGCUAAGAACAGGAAACUGAGGCUACAAUUUGCACAAGCUCAUCGAAAUUGGACAAUAGAAGAUUGGAAAAACGUUGCCUGGUCUGAUGAGUCUCGAUUUCUGCUGCGACAUUCGGAUGGUAGGGUCAGAAUUUGGCGUCAACAACAUGAAAGCAUGGAUCCAUCCUGCCUUGUAUCAACGGUUCAGGCUGGUGGUGGUGGUGUCAUGGUGUGGGGAAUAUUUUCUUGGCACUCUUUGGGCCCCUUGGUACCAAUUGAGUAUUGUUGCAACGCCACAGCCUACCUGAGUAUUGUUGCUGACCAUGUCCAUCCCUUUAUGACCACAAUGUACCCAACUUCUGAUGGCUACUUUCAGCAGGAUAAUGCGCCAUGUCAUAAAGCUGGAAUCAUCUCAGACUGGUUUCUUGAACAUGACAAUGAGUUCACUGUACUCAAAUGGCCUCCACAGUCACCAGAUCUCAAUCCAAUAGAGCAUCUUUGGGAUGUGGUGGAACGGGAGAUUCGCAUCAUGGAUGUGCAGCCGACAAAUCUGCGGCAACUGUGUGAUGCCAUCAUGUCAAUAUGGACCAAGCUCUCUUAGGAAUGCUUCCAGCACCUUGUUGAAUCUAUGCCACGAAGAAUUGAGGCAGUUCUGAAGGCAAAAGGGGGUCCAACCCGUUACUAGCAUGGUGUACCUAAUAAAGUGGCCGGUGAGUGUAUAUAUAUAUACAUAUAUAUGUAUACACAUAUGUAUGUAUACACAUAUAUACAUAUAUACACAUAUAUAUAUAUAUACACAUAUAUUAUAUAUAUAUAUAUAUAUAUAUAUAUGUGUAUAUAUGUAUAUAUGUGUAUAUAUGUAUAUAUGUGUAUAUAUGUAUAUAUAUAUAUGUAUAUAUGUAUAUGUAUAUAUGUGUAUAUAUGUAUAUGUAUAUAUAUGUAUAUAUAUGUAUAUGUGUAUAUAUGUAUAUAUAUGUGUAUAUAUGUAUAUAUAUGUAUAUGUAUAUAUAUAUAUAUAUGUAUGUAUAUAUAUAUGUGUAUAUAUAUGUAUAUAUACCAGCAUGAUUACACAACCGUUUGCUCAUACCAGCAUCAUGCAAUUAGGGAAUUAAGUCCUUGAUAGUAACACUCUUUCCCUGUAAUCUACAUGACAACACAUGAUAAUGAAGCCAAUAUAUCCACCGUUUUGAGAGGUUUUAUUCUCUUCUCUAUGAGUUAUUUUACAUAAGCACAAAGCCCAGACUUCAAACUGAUCUAUGACAGAUAUUGCAGCCAUGCGUCACACUUCUAUGACAAACGUCUUAUGAUAUGACAAGCUCUUAUUUUGUCGAGCAGCUCAAAUGACCUGUCGUUGAGUCUUAUAGAAUGACUGGAAAACAUCGGCUGAAUGGAGUUGGUUAUGUAAAGUGGAUUAUUAUUGUUUUGCUUGGUUUUGACAGCAGGCGUUUGGCUCCUCUUUGUGAAGGCAGUGAGGCAUGAGAGGGAAAAAACUGCAUGGAAGUGGGACAGUUGGUGACUGAGUCUGCACAUUUUGCUCGCUUUGGUUUGAUUUGCCUUUGAGUCUUUCAAAUGUGACAGGGUCAAUCCUCGCAUUGACAGAACAUAAAAGCAAAAGCGGGUCAUAAAUACAGCAGACCUUCAGUUUUGAAAACAAAGAGGGGAAUACAGGUACAGUACAGCUCUCCUCUUUAUUAGCCUUACAGGCUGUUCUUCAGAUGGAGAGAGAAAGAGAGAGAGGAAAUAUAGGAUUUCAUAACCUAAUAAACCUCAGAGGGGAAAUCAAUAAGGUGGCUCGCCCUGCAAAGGCUCCUUCUACAAAUUUAUAGACCACAGCAGCAAUCAAUGUCCUGAGUUUAUAACCUGUUAAGACUUUGAACAGAAGGGAUCUGAGAAAUGUCAGUUAGCAUUAUGGCAUAUUCAGAAAUAUUUAUCCAAAUUAACAAUUAGCAUCCGAACAGCAGAGCAGAAGGACCUCUGUGUGAUGUUUCCAACUCUGGGUAACAGAUAGCCCUCCUGGGGGUGUGGCUCAUCAUUUAGCAACACUGUCAUGCAUGUUAAUUUUAAUCUGAAAUGCCCAUCCUGCUUAUCGUCCUGCUCAACGUUUUUCUCUCCCUCGUUCAGCUACUGUCACCUCUCUUGAUUGCUGGCAUAGAUUCGGAAAAGGCUUUUACAGAGAUGGCAGAAAAUUAUUUCCCUGUCAUGUUAUUUUUCUGUUGCGGGAAUGCGUUUGACAUCGGCAGCUCUCAGCCACCCACGAGGCCACUCCGCAGCCUAAUUCAUCGUUUUUUAUGUGACGUCACACACUAUUCACUGUGCCAUCUUAAGGACCAACCUGGGACUAGAUAUCAGAAAAGGCUGUCUGCUAUGCUGUGCAUGAGGGAGUAUAUGAACUAAUCAAAUAUGUAUAUUUAUGCAUGAAAAAGUAAAACUUUCUAUAAUUUCGCUCUAAGUUCAGCCUGUAUUUUAUUCUUAGGGGAACAUCAGAUAAGCAGCCAGCUACAUGAGCUAAGAGAAGGAAAGUGGAGCAUCUUGUAGAGCCAUACUAAAGUAUAGGUUUCAGAAAUAUCUGAAUGCCCAAUCUUUUAUCACAUCAACCGAGCACUAUCAUAGGUAUCAGGAUUUUGACUUGAUUGUGCCAGAAACUGAGUCGGUCACAAAGUAGGACCAAGAGCCAGUCCAUUCAUGCUUCUGUAACAGCGGUUUCUCUUCAGCUGUUGAGUUUAACUUCACAUUAUCAUCCAUCUUUCAUUGACUAACCCAGCUCUCAUGAAAGAAUUACUGCACCCUUAUUAAUAUAUGACUUCAAUGUUGUGAGAUUUUUUUUUUCUUUUUUUCAACAUAUUUGACUUUUUCUCUCUCCCUUUUUAAAUUCUCUAUGUGGCCACAAUUGCUUUUUACACCCAUGUGUAAAUAUGCCUUUUUUAUUUAAGUGGUGGCUCAGAACCAGAAGCGAUGCCUCCCAGUUGAGAUCGCUGCUUCAAACCUCUGACCAGACUUCAUCUUUCGGUCCUUCUUUCUUCUCACAGCACUCAUAGUAGCCCGAACUGUGCCCUGAGGGGAUGCAGUGGAGGAGGCCCACAAAUGGAAAUACCUGAAGUACAGUAAUCCGGCAGCUGAUGCUGGACAUCAUGGCUGGAAAACUUAGGUACAGUCCAGUUUUGGUUGGCUAAAGAGGCUUUGUGAGGAAGUGAGCCGCCAGGCAAGAUUUUGAGGUGUCCAGGACAAGCCCCACAGCAAGCUGUUAAAGUCCUCUGCAGUGCUGCUGCACAGGCCAGCUGCUGGCUCUUGAUCAAGAGGAAUGAUACCUGGUUCCCAAGCCAGCAACCAUGAAUAGAGGCAAAUUAAGGGGGACACCUGAGAUACUAGGUGUUUCCAAUGAGCCCCCUGGAGGAGUUGUGGGUCUGUCUUGGAACACCUGCAAGAGGGUGGCCAUCUGAUGACCCCAAUAUAGCUUUAAUCUCCCUCCCUCAACACCCUACAUGGCACCCUUUGGAAAACCAAUAAUGGAGAUGAUCAUCCCCACUCACAAACUAGGUUAGAGCAGGUUACAGUGGAUUGUACCUCACGGUCCAAUUCUGGAACUUUUUUUUUUUUUAAACUUUGUCUUACAGCUGCAGUAAGACAUGAGGACCCUCCUUUCCUCCUGCACUGUGGCUGAGGAUUUGCCAGGGUUACACCAAAGAACUGCUUCACCUGCCAUCCUUUAUGCAUAUGACCCAUGAAAAGCAGUAAAUAGCAACUACAACAACUAACCCCAUUUUUGGUAGCAGGUCUAGUUUUAAAGCUAGUACAACACCGGUGAAUCUGUUGUACCAAAUCUCUUGAUAUCAGAUAUAUGAGUCACUAAAGGAAGAAGACUAAUAUAACUGCAGAGACUGUUUUUUACCAUGAGCUUUACUGACCUGUGUUCACUUUUUUUUGUGAAAGCCACAAGCCAAACAUCUCAGCUGGAUGAUGAGAGACCUCACAUUUUUUUCCAGCUGAAACUUUUUACUUACAUUUUACUUAAAAUACCGUGCAAACCAAAAGUAUAUUUCAUUUCAUGCUCCUCAAGGACCUCUUCUCCUGUAGGUCUCCUGCUACUACAACCCGGUUCUGCAAUUUUAAAACCUCAUCACUGACUUAUCAGUUCUGCUUUUGAUUCCAUUGGGUCCAUGGAAGUAACAUUACACUUUGAGAGUGAUUUAAUGGUGCACACUUAUUAAUAAAUUGUCUAAUAAUAUUCUUGGGAAAAGAAACUUGAAUUGGCAGCGAAAAGGUGUGAAGCUAUAAAAAGAAGGCUUCUGGUGGUCAGUUGCUUGUGGUAAUAGCUGAAUAUGUGAAGAGAUCCGUUUGACCAAAGAUGAAGAGAGGAACACAAUAAUACUAUUGACCUAUCGCUAAGCUCCGACCCCCUUAGUUACUGUUGCUAACUCUGACAAACAACUGGAGCUGAGCAGUGCUUUACAAUGGCCACUGCCGGUGUCAAAACACUACCCCAAGAGGGUCUUGUCAAAUUCUGGGCACAGGAAGACGUGAUUUCUUCAAUGUCAAUAAUUUAAAUUUAGAUGUGGUGGGUGAGAACACAGUUAAAUUGGAGGCGAGGGUGUACAGAUCCCGAUGUGAGCGGGAGAAGCCUCAUCUCAACAUCCAAGACCAAAACUGUUAGUGUACCACAGGGUAUUAAAUGAAUUUACCUUAAAUUAUUCAAACUAAUCUGGAGAGGCACUGAGUGUUACAGUCACUCAGCUACUGUGCUAACCUGGGCUAAUAGUAGCGUUAGCUUGUUUCCCAGAGAUGAAAGCUCUGUUAUUACAUCGUUAAUGACGAUUAAAUAACUGUAGGUAAACUUGUUGGGAUAACUUGCCUUAGAACAAACGUAGACAUCCUUGUUGAUCUUCUGAACAUUUAGUUGGCUGUGUGGUCUGCCACACAACUUAAUAGCAGACAUUUUCUUUUUUUGGUUUUUGAAAUGAAAUGAAAUACACCCCAUUGCCCAUCCUGUCGGGAUACCUUAUGUUGGUAUUACAUCUACCCCGUGCACCCCCUUUUUUAAUGUUUAUUUCUGUUAUAUUAAAAUUCAUUCCAUAAAACAGAUGAAAAUUACAACUUCUAAUGCUUCUCUAUGGAGCUAAAAGCUACAGAUGUUCGAGUUCUGGUUCCGGUGCUAUUGACUCAUCUGCAUUUGAAGGGCAAGGCUUAGCAAUAGGUCAAUUAUGUAUUUUUGUUUGCACAGCAAUCUACAAUAGACAUGACAGAAGGAGUUAUGACCCGUGUAACUUUCUAACACAAACUUUAAUUGACUUGUAAUUAUCUACUUUAUUGCUGCUGAUUUAUUUUUAUGAGUUUGAUGCUUUCACGGUUUCAUCAGCCUUGUUUUAUGAAGGUUGAAAAUUUCUCAUUCUGUUUGGAAACAGUCAUUUGUUCCACGCUAAAAGCAAUGCCAGUUCUGUUAAAAACAAAUUGUCCUCUUUUUGUUCCAAUGAAUAACAGAAAAGGCUUGAUAGUGCCAUCGAUCAGGACUUGAAUCAUUAAGGAGUCCCAAUGAUCAUUUCAUUAUAAAAGUUAACAAUCUGCAACCCAAGUCUGAAAUGCAACUUGUAGAAAAUCUUAGAGAGAAAUAAACAAACUGGAGUUAUAACUGACUAUGUACUUUAAUAUAAGAGGAAUAUUCAGCAGACAUGGAUCAGUGUCACCACUCUUGGAAGAGGGUCAAAGUGAACGGCACACGAACACAGUCUGAGCAGUCUGACACAGACUGAACAGUCACUGUAUGACUGGAGGGAUAAGUCUAGAGUCUGGGUGGUUGAGCUCACUCCUGUUCACUCCCUUCACUUCCCUUCCUAAUUAUUUGAAGCUAUAAUUGCAGAUAAAAUACUGAAGCAAUAAAGUUCACUGAGUCAAGGUACAUGGUGCCACAAGCAUAACAUUUAAUCAUCGUAUUAGUAUUUUCAUCCCUAACCUAUAGAAAUUUCCACUUCACAGCUCCCCCUGAAUAACCAUGAACGUUUUCUAUAUCGCAGACUGUCUUCACAGCAUACCAUUUAUCACUUCGUCUAUUAUCUUCAGUGUGUUUCAUUAAAAACUCAUCACUGAAGUUUUAAUGAAUUUUAUAACUUUACACAUAAAAGAUCAUCCUGGAAUUAACUUUUUAUUUCUGUGCAACACUUAAAGCAAAUUAUAUGAUAGCAGCUGUGUAAGAUACCCCCUAACACACUGCAGCUAUCAGGAAUGUAACUUACAUUUUGCAGAGUUAAAAGUCUGCUUUUGGGUCUUGCUGUUACCAUGACAACACAGACAUCUAAUUUCUUUGAACCCUUCAUUACCAUAUGAACUCUAAAUGCAGAGUUCACUCAUUAAUCAGCGACUGCCCUGGUUUUUUAAAUAACAUUUCAGCAGAGACAUAGUUAACCUCAAGCCAUAGUGAGGUUCAGUAAUGCUUUCAGUUUGUCUAAAUGCUUCAGAACAUUAUGAAAAAAAUAAAACCUAUGUCCUUCUACAUGUUCAAAUGAAUACUCAUAUGUGGACUCCCAAGCACAGGGACCUUGCCUCUAACCACACCGUAAUGUUCAAAGCGUUGAACUCAUUGAUUCAAGCAGAGUUUACAUGUUGUAUGUAUCGUGAUUCAGUCUGGAGUAAUUAUUGAUCAUGGUCUUUGUUUAAUAUGUUGACAGUAUAUUACAUAAUUACAUGUCUGCUGUUAAUUUCAGAUUGAACUCUUUAACCCCCCUUAAUGUCUCGUUGAAUAAACCUCAGCUGUUUUGUGCCCAGAGUCAAUAUAAAGCUGCCUGUUGGUAUGUGCGUAUAUGUGGGCGGUUAUAUGGUAUGUCUCUGAGGCUACAUUCAAAUAGAAGUUGAACAAGAUCUGCUAAUCCGUUUCUUCCAUCCAGGCUGUUCUUGUUCACAAUGAAUCCGUAGAUGUUUAUAAAAAAAAAAGUCUUUCAUUUUCAUCUGCUAAAAGGAGUUGUCAUUCUUAAAAAUUCUUAAAAUCUUACAAUUGUCUCAUAUUUACUGGCAUAAUAAUCAUCAUCAUUAUAUUCAGUAGCACCAGCAUGCUCAUUCAUGCGAAUACAAUUCUUUUAAAUACAUGGUAAACUGUUCAUAAAUAAAAAAAAUAAAAUAAAAAAUUGUAAUGCUUUUUCCCAAAUUUACAUUCAUACAACAAAUAAUCGUGUCUACUCAAAGCUAUAAAUAAACCUCUGCUUAAUUAACACAUAAUUAUACACAUAUUAAGUUUAUGUGCAUCACAUUUUAGUUUAGAUUUCAGAGACCCUGUCUACCUGAAGUCCCAGUAGUCUGACAUUAACACAGAUAGUAAUAAGAUUUUGAACACUUUAGAAAAUUUAGUCCGUAACCAUGAUGCUGCUGCUGACAUCCCGUUAAAGUGUGCUACCUACAUUAGUUUUCCACUGAAAUGCCGACACUGAUUGUUUAAUCAUAAUGCUGUCAAUGUAGACACUCAGAAAUAUACUGGAGAGAGAAAGCUGGCCCCUAUACUGCUUGCAAAAGCAGAAACUAUGCCGGAGUCAUGCAAAACUCUACGGUUCCAAGAGUUUCGAUUGCUUCUUUAACUAUGAACCACCUCAAUGAAUUCAUGUAACUUACCAAGAUACAGUGAAUUUCUAGUUAGUUGUCAAAGUGGAUGGUGACUGCAGUGGCCCUGAUGAUUCCCUCCAGGACAAAAAAACUCAGCAAAUUCACAAACACAUGCCGAAGUCUGCAGCAAAAUGCACAGUGAAUGAAAAAUGCAUCGUAAAAAGCUGUAAAGAAAGAAUGAUGUGAAAGUCAAAACUACACCAAAAAGAAAACAGUAAGUCAUCACAGCAGAAGCUUCGAGCAAAUUGAGGUGCUCAGUGGAAGAGCUGUGAUACCAGAGAGCGAGACAAGGGCUCCCUCUGACCCCCUGACCUGCAAAUAGUUUCCCUCUCUGUUAUGAUCUUCCAAUUUGUUAAAAGUGCCCUAAGGAGAUGAGGAAGGAGGAGAGAGGAAGGUCCUGGAAGAGCUCAGAGCGAGGACACACUGGUUUAUGUAUUCUCAAUGGAAGUCUUUUGACCAAAAACACAAUAUAAUUGGUGCCUGUGCAGCAUGCCUCUGCGCAGAUCAUUAUUUAUGUUUUUACUCCUCACACUGCGCUGAUCAGAGACAACGACUAAGACAUAGUGGCUGCUCAAUGCAUAAACACACUCAAACAGACAGCAGGACAUUUUAAUCACAGAUGGUAGUGGCAUUAAAGGAAGAAAAAAAUGCUUUGACUUCAUUUAACACCAAAAUGGACAGAAAUUUACACAGCUUGAAGAUUCAAACUUUUUUCCCCUAAUGAGAAGUCCCCUGGUUGUUUGUACCUGUGGGUGUGUGUUAGGCGGCUGUGCAGCUUAUCAUCGCUUCUUAAUUCUCCAAUCUUACACUGUGAGGGGAAAGCAAAUAUGUCUCCUCUGUCCUUCUGUCCUCUGUAUAACCCUUGUGUCACUCUUUCAACUCCUCGACGGGAGUUGAAAGAAAGGACACAAACGGAGGACCUGAGGGGACAAAUAAAUGAACUGAAAGAAGAGGAACUGAUUUAACUAAAUAUGAGACCGUAAACUGACAAAAGGACCAUAACCCACUCACUGAUUUGAACAAAAAACUCUACUUCAUCACGUUAAAAGCCCCAUAAUCUUAGCUGAGAAAUGAUUCCUGAUGGACAGGUAGUUUUGCUGAAAUAACUCUUUGUAAGUGUAGCCUUAGCUAACAAUAAAUAUCAGGUAGCCGUGCUGCUAAUAGUGUGAUUAAAUGGGCUACAUGCUACAAGAUGAACUCUCUGAAUUCAAGCCUGAUUCCCCAAUCCUCAAUCAGGCCCAAUCAUCAGAGAAAAUCUUGCCAGAUUAUUCUGUGGUGUUAGCUGUGUGAUUUUCUCUCCCCUGAUCUUGCAGGAAAUGAUUUGCUUAAAAUUAUAUGUGUCAAACAUGGUCAAUUUCAGUGAUCAGAAAUGGUUGCUGGUGUAAAAAUGUCUUUCUCUGUGGUCUGCUGCUUUUACCACAUCAUCGCACACUACAGGCACAAACCUGUUCAAUCUGUCAUCAUUCCUCAACAUCCGUGUGAUCUCUGAUAUUCUUAAAAAUAGUCAAGAUCUUAAAAAGCUUUCUUGUGCACUGGGCUUUAGCUGACUCUGUGUUGGCGCUCUGAGAACAGGGGAUUGUUGUUGUUUACUCCUCAAGCUGCCACAGCUGGGACUUGCAUUUUUAAUGUAUCGGCAGUGUGUUUGCUGGAAAUGCAUGCGCUUUGUGUUUUUUUUUUUCAGCAAAUUUUAUCAUCUGCAGUGGACACAAAAGUGUGUCUUGUUUUUAUUUACAGUGCUCUGACUUUGUAUUUCUUCUGGUGGAAAUUUAGCAUUCCAGCUGACUUGCAGUUUUCUGCAUAUAUUGCAUAGUCUAAAUAGAAAACGCUCAUAAAAAGUUUUUUAUUUUUUAUUAUUUUUUUUUUUUACUGCACGCUUAGUCUUUUUUGUCUGACACCAGCUCAUCCUUCUGCCAUAUCUCCUUCCUUGAAGAGGAAACAACAUCCAGGACUUGGUUGCAGAUGGCUAAUCUCAUGAAGCUUCGACAAGCCCCGGAUUUACUGUUCAGUUGGCCUCUCCUGAUCUAUGUGCGAAGGAUGGAUAAAAGCAUGGCCCCUGGCAGGGUUUAUCAAUGUUAAUGGGGUUGGCUGCACAGAAUUAUCACCUACCAGAGGUGUGAUGGUGUGAUGGUUGCAGCAGCAGGGGAGACUUUCUCUCAAAUCUUCAUCAACCAAAGGAUACUUGGUGUCCAAAUUGAUUCUCUGCAGUAAGACAGUGCUUACAGAUUUGCCACAAUGUUUUUGGCAGUACUGUGGUGUACUGUGGAGCUGACCAGACUGUGCUCGGUUAGUGUGAGCAAGAGGAGUGGAGACAGAUUAUCUGCGAAUCAAUGAGUAGGGCUCAGAGGAGGAAUGACCUGUUUAUACAAGCUAAUGGCUCCCAGAGCACUGCCAGAGCAUGUAAUGGUUCCUACUAAUGUUUUCUCACAUCGUUUAAGAUCCCUUUCCUUCUCUUUGUGACAAUUGCUCUCUCCCGAAGGAAUCUUUGAUCCCAGGCAAUAAAACCAUUGCUUCUUUAUAUCCUGUUUAUCCUGAAUUGGCUCUGGUGUUAUUACCUUGAGGUAACCAGAGUCACACAUGGGAUAACUGAUGGGAAAAAAAAUACAGUAUUAAAGUAUGAUUUCAUUAGUUUGGAGUCAGCUGAAAUGGGGAUUGUUGUCUUUUUCAUUUGGAAGAUCCUUUUCUAUUUAUAGAAGGAGCAGGCCUUGUCUGUGGAGUCUGCCAUGCUGCACAUUAGGGCAGGGUGAUAAACCGAACAUUUACCGAUUCCGAAUUAAUAGAUAAAUAAACAAAUAAAAGUUGGUUUUGGAUGUGUGUAGGUAGGCUAUAGUCUCGUGUCCCUUUUAGAUGCUGUCCUACAUCAGAGACGUGACUCCACCCCAACCAGUCUGUAACAAAGAGGAAAAGACAGGUGAGGAGAUGGAGGACGGAUCAAAAGUUGUAGAGACUGGAGUAGUGGCUGAAGUAGACAAAGUUAAUGUGGAAGGGGGUGAGAAGCUUGUGGAGUAGUUAUCGUCCAUUUAUCGUGAUUGAGGUGAACUGCUCAAUAUAUUGUGAUAUUGAUUUGAGACCAGAUCACCCAGCCCUACUGCACAUGUUACUGCAGUAUCCUAGAAUGGACAAACCAAACACUGGAGCUCUUGACUUUUGUGGUCACAGUUAAUUGCUCUUCGACCUGAUCAAUAAAGCACUAAAAAAAGUCCUACUUACUCAUCCUUAAAGAGGUGGUUCAGUUUCUUUACGGCAGGCUUGUAUGAGGCACCUGUCAAUCAGAAUUUUAUUACCCGUAAACAAUCCCUGUCCCCUCAGGCCUUAAUUUAAAGAAACUCACACCAAAAUACAAAAGCUAUUUACGCAAGCCUUGGACACCACAGGAUACCUUGAGGAGGACACUAAGGUAGAGAGAGGGGAGGGACUUGUUUUAACGAGAGAGAUCACAUGUUAACAGGUGGAGGAGGCGUAUAGACUGUUAAAUUGUGUGAAUGGAUGAUACGCACAAAUGACUUGAACUCAUGACACAUUCAGCACUCUGCUUGCUUUAUUCAUUUAUUCCAAGAAGUUGAAAAUCUGAAUUUAAGCAAAUCACUCCCACCAAAAUAGCCAAUCAGCAUGAAAAUCCCCUGGUGAUGUAUGUGGGCAAUUCAUUUGGAGUAUGAGGCUGCCUGGGCUGGAGGAUACGAUUUGAUUUUGAUAUUUAAACAGGAAUGAAAAGCAGCUCCCUUGGAGGACAGUGUCUGAGGAAGUCAGAUUAUUCAGUAAAUUUGAAAACACAACCAUGUUAGAUGUAAAAUAACUGAAAUUGCAUUAAGGAAACCCCUCCUCUUUUGCUUUGAUUCAUGUGUUUGGGCACCUCUGUUGACAUGAUGUGGAGCCUGUCACCCAAGCACUUCAAGAGAGUAAAGAUAAAUAAAUAAAUCACUCAGACGGUUAAAUAUGUAUUAAUUUUGCAACUUUAUAAUAUUAUACAUGUUGAGUGUGAACACAACAUUAGCUUAGAGAGACACUGCUGUCAUAAGCAGGAUUGUAAAACUGUAACAACAGUUUUUCAGGGCCUUUCUGAGUCAGGGGUCACCAGAAGCUCACAUACAUAUGCAGCCUGAUUUACUCGUUAUAGUUCCCUAUAGUACUACAUGGAGAGUAAAUGGGAAUACCUCGAAUUCAUCUUUGUUUUGAAUGACAUUUUUGUAAUUGUAUGAAAACCAGAAGUCUGCACAAUGAGUCUCAGUCAUGAAACAUUAGUGUGUGACUUGUUUGUAAAAGAAAAUUUCUAUGUCUUUUAGCAUUCAGUAAUACUGGAAGAACUCAAAUCUUUAGUUUUAUGUAGAGACCAGGCAGUUUAUCCAUUUGAGACAGAGGUUGAAACUGUUGUUAUGAUUUUGCUGACCCUCACUGUUAAAGCAGCGGGCAACAACUCAGACUAUCACAGAGUACACCAACAGUAUAUAAAGGUCAGUAUCACAGAAGAAAAUAAAACCUGCAGAAGCAAAUUUAUUCACCUUUAACCCACCAGAAUCCACACUGUGUUAGCUGUGAAAAAGGGGAAAACUGACAUGAAAUGAUAAACUCCGCAGUCAUCAUUGCCAGACUGAUAGUGUUAAACAUUUCUUGCUUUAAACUAUAUCAAACUAAGAUGUAAAAAUCCAGUCCAAUCCGCUUCAGUUGUAAAGCACAGUGCUGUACAGCAAUAUGGAAAGCAGAAAAAGACACAUAAAUUCAGAGAGAUCACAUAUCUCUCAUGCCGGGUAAAAAAGCCAAGGAGUAAAUGUUGAGUUUUGAGAUUUAAAGGUGUGGAGGGUCAGGGACAUUUAAUGUAGGAGGGUAACUUAUUCCACGGUUUAGGGGUCAGAGCAGAGAAGGCACAGUCACCCCUGACUUUCAGUCUAGUUUAACGGACCAUGAGAAGGAGCUGAUCAGCAGACAUAUCAGACCUUGAGGGAAUGCAGACUUAGAGAGGUCAGGGAUGUCAAAAUUCACAAUAUACAAGUGUACUGUAAAAGUCAAGAUGACUCAUGCAUUAAAGGCAGAUUUGCAGACUGCAUGCCAAAGAGCACCAAGUGUUUCAUCUGUGAGGAAUGCUAAAACAAAGCAGCUUUCUGUUGGCAAAAUUAAGGGCUGAAUGCUUUCUAUUGAAGUGAGCACUCUAAAGUGACGUAAGUGUUUGGGUCAAAAUAUCUUAAAAUGAGCUUAAUUAGAAGAUAACUCUGAUCUAUCCUGCAGUGGUCGAACCAGACCUCCUGUGGUUAAUACACUUACUAUUUAUGUGGACCCACUACAACCCAACAUAAUUUUAAAGGAAUAAUUAAAGACAUUCAUGUAAUUAGGAGCAAGGCUAUUGCUGCUUUAUUUAUCAUUAUUUAGUUGACAUUGUAGGCUGGUAUGUGAAUUAGAGUGAGGUAAGUGCAUGUAUUUGCGUCAUCUGCAGAAUGAGCCACCUAAAGGACAAAGCAGCUGAGUGCUGAAUAGUCAUGGGCAAACAAGCUUUUAAAUCUUGCUCUUAUAUAAAUAGAUUAUAUGCUUCAUGUAUGCAAAGCAGAGGCCGUGGCAUUUAGUUUGAAAGAUCAACACACAUGGAUGUCCCGGUGACACAGCUGAAGAGCACAGGAGAUGAAGCCGUCUUUAUGAAUGUGUGGAAACUGAGAUUUUCUUUCUCUUGAACAUUUUCAUGAAGUAUUUCAUGAUGGCUGUGCCUAUGUAAAUGAAGCAUGAGGAGAGCUUAAUGGAAAGGCAGACCAUGGUGUCAGAUCCAGAUGGUUUCAACAGAGUUGUUGGGAUGAAUAAUUCAGACAGAGAGCACAUCUUCUGAGCAUGCUGGAAGCAUGAGUCUCAACCCAGACAGCAGAUUGUUCCAUCUCAUGGACAAUCUUUUGUUGUUGUUGAAAAUAUGCCUUUUCAAGUGUGAACAACAGAAACAGUAAGAGGUCUUUGUAUAUCAUCAGCGAAAAAGGAACGUUUUCUUAAAAUCCAUGCAGAAACCCUCCCUGCUGGUUUGAAGCUGCUGAACUUGGUGAGGAUGAAGUAGUUAUUUAAUAGUAAAUACAGAGACAUCGUUUUUAACAUGGCUCAAUUAUGUUCCUAUGAUGACACGUGUCAAAAUGAUGUAUUGUAGCAACAUUUUCUUUCCUAAGGAGAGACACAGUUGCACCGUUUGCCAUGGUUAUUUGCAUCUUAACAGGUUCCACCGCCCUUCUGACUAACACUGUUAUCACACAAUAACAUUGUGCUUCACAGCCUCACUCCAAACAGCCUAUUUCUUAAUUAGCUUACUUGUGUGUUGCUAAGCAAUCUCAACAGCAGCAGCAGAUAGAAGCCAGAAAAUAAUCAUAUUUAAUUGAUAAACAUGCCUCAGUGACAGACAGUUUUCGCCACAGAAGAUGUCAGCUUUUCCUCCAAGAUAUCCAAAGCAUGCAGGCUGGGAGCAUUACUCCUGGCUUGGAAAUGCAUUUCUAUAAAUGUAUUGUAUCAUAUAGACAAUAAGAGGGAAAGCCAUUCGCAGCAUUGUGGAGAUAACAGCUGCAAAGAGACCAGUUCACCGUAUCGCUCAGGCCCACAUGGACCAUUUCUGCGUUGAUGGAGUAGAUUUUGCACCCUGAUGGAAUUUGUGGAUUCAUCAGGUUUUCACCCUCUUGUGGUUUGUUCCAGUUAGAACCAGGUACUGCGUCUAAGCUCAGGCCAUCCCCUGCUGUUCUGCACGACUGGCACCCGUAUUUAACACUUGGUGAGCAGAAUAGUGAUCAAUCCCUCCACCUCAGAAUGGAAACAGACAGCCAUAACCAGAGACAUAAGAGCUAUAGAGGUACUCGCCGCACUGUUACCACGGCAACAGGCCUUGCGGGGGGGGUAUCAUCACCGGCACUCUUAGAUUGGCUGGUUGUGGUUUGGUGCAAUGGUUCAGUUUAGUUGGCUGUUUCUGCCCUUAGAGAGACAUGGAAAGUGGUUCUCUGGUUUUUCAAUCUACCUUAAUCUGGUGGAGUCUGGUGGAGAGAUUUACCAGACGGUGGAGUUGACAGCUGAAGUCCUGAGUUCAUCACAUGUAGCCUGUAAAACUAAAACGUGUGAUUCAAUUACAUGAUACCAGUUCAGGAUUGAUUAGCCUGUUCAGGAUGUGUAUUACCAAUCUCUUGAGCCUGUGGUCCAUUUUUUUUCUCACAUUUGUUAGAAGGUUGUACAAAAAUCAGAUUUGAAGUACAUUUAUUAUUAAGUCUGAGGAGAGAAAAUCUAAUUUACAGACAUCCCUAGCAAAUUCUAAUUUUACAGCCACUCCACAGCAUCAUGAUGAAAACAUAAAAUAUUUAUAACUCUAUCAUGUCUCGCAUACAGUUGUAUGUUUUUCUAAUUGUAUCACAGUCAUGUCUGGAGCAUCCAGCCGGUGAAACUCCACCACACUGAACCCAGGGGACACUCAUGCAAUAUACACAUCCAGCCUCACAGAUUCCAUCCGACUGAUUUAGUAUUGCUGACUGUCCCAAGGUAGGCACUGUAUGUUCAAUAUAACACGGGUCCAGAAAACAUACAUAAUGCAGAGCAUGUAAGUACACACAUUAACACAAAAAGAUGAAUGCUGGCGCACACACCCAUACACACAGCAGUGAACCUUAGCCUGGCUCGACUCCCAUGAGUCUCCUCACAGAGCCCAUCAGCCAGACGCAGACUCUCAGGGAGGAUGGUAACUGCAUCGUUCAUCUAGUAACCGCCCUCAGGAUGAGGACAUCACUCAGAGAUGAUCAAUCAAUAACAGGCUGCUACACACAAAACCUUUUAACAUGAUUAUCUGCUGCUCACCAAUGCUUACUACAAACAAGAGGCAGCUAUAUAGACUGAACGACUUUAACUCCUCUAUUUAAUAGUUUGCAAUAAAUGCAACCAUUACCUGGCUGCCUUACUAACCAGACUGUGUUGAACACAAGAUUGGUUGCAACUCCAUAACAAUGGUUUUUAAACCUCAACUAUGAAGGUGAUGCCCAGAACAUUCAGAUCAUGCUUGUUGUAUCAAAUCACAGGUAGCAAGAACUUUUUAUCUGCCUGUUGACACUGUCAGUUUCUGUUUGUAUUCUAGUUCUGUAGAUGAAAUGACGUGGAGGAUAUUCACGGAAAUCAAUGUAAUCAAUCCAAUAAUGAGACUGAACGUGCUUUUUGUAUGAAAGUGUAUUAAAGUGUCAGAAACAGACAGCAAAAUGGCACAGAACAACACUCCUUUAACACUAUCACUUUCAUUGUGCAUCUCAAGAACUAUCAUCCUGAUCAGCACCAAGAGUUUCUGAAAAAUAAGAACCAGAACGCAAAAACCUGUCAGCAGUCUUCACUUCAGUCAUUUAACAAUGCAAGAAAAACAGCAACCACCUAAAAUAGUACAAUCCAAUACAAGAAGUUUAUUGAUCCCUAAAGGCAAAUUUGUUUGUCUAGAAUCUCAUCUCAUUGAAGAGUCAAGAAAUUGAUUGCUUUGGGUACAAAAGCUCUUCUAAAUCUCUUCGCCUCGCAGUGAAGACAGAGGAGCCGUCCACCGCUGUUGCUUUUUUGGUCCAUCAAGGUGUUAUGAAGUGGAUGAUCCGUGUUUUGUAGAGUGGCUUCUACCUUCCUCAGUGUGCAUCUCUCCACCACAUCCUCCAAUGAGUCCGACUCGAUCCUAAUCCAAUGAAACUUGAAACCGAACGUAGAACUUCAGCUUUUGCCCUGGGUGGGAUGUAUACAAGUAUUGUUAUGAUAUGACUGAAUUCUCUUGGAACGUAAUAUGGCCAAAGUGAGGCAACUGUCAGCAGUUCAAUAUCUGGACAACACAACUUCUCCUUGACAGUUAUGUGUGAAGAGUAAUGGCUCAUAUAUGCUCAAAGUUACACACGCAUCUGAAUACGGAUGGAGCUUUCCAUCCAUGCUUUGCAUCUUUUUUGUCCGUAUUUCUGUAUGUAUCCUUGAAGUUUACGAAUACGGGCCAGACGGAGCAGUACCACCAGAAACCGUGGGGGCAGUGUUGCUGCUGUCACUACCCGGUACACAUCUCUAGAAAGAAACAAAGAGGACAAUGGUGGUAUUGCUAGAGAAAAGAAUUCUCUGUCCUCCAACCACGAGGCAUUUAGUGGCCUGAUCGACCACCGCCUCCUCCAAUGCUGCCUCCGUUUCUGUCUCCUACGUAAAUUAUACAUUAUCACUAGCUCCUCCACAGUCGCCACAUUUCUUUUUGUUUGUUGUUAGAAACUUCUGACUCCGGCCUGCCCUCUGGUGAAUGUAAUGGUUAACAUCCAUGACAAUGUAAAGGACUCAUUGAAGUAUGUGUGCAAUGUGUGUUUGAAACGAACGUGUACAUUUUCAUACAUAUGGCGAGCAUAGAUGAGCCUUUACACUAUCUCUGGUGAACAAAUAAAGCCAGACCCCCCUCCUUUCUUCUUGCCACUAGCUUCAGUAUCUCUGUCUAAAGGUAAAAGGGGCUGAAAAUAAGGGCAAAAAGUCUGAUGGCAUCCCAAUCUCUUACUUAAUCAAUUUGUCAGAUAUUAACAAGAUAAAAUACAAACUGUCAACAAUAGAUGUGCUUUUCUUCCGCUAAUUUCCUUAAGGACGCUUUGCAUGACUCCUUGAUUGUUUCAUCAAGCUGCAGCAAAUCUAAUCCUCUAAUAUCAGCUCUAUUGUUUCCUCAUAUUAAUGCUAAUUGUUGUCUGUCUCGUACGGUGCACCAUCACCAAACAUGGAACACCAGAUAGUCUGUACAAGAUUAUGUUUGUACUAAUUUUGGUUAUUUUUCUUGCUGAGUGAUUCAGGAGGCAAUAAUAAUUAGCUGAGCAAGCACAUCCCCCACUAUGCCUCCGGCUGAAUGAAACAGAGAGCGACUAAGCAUUACAAAACGCUCCCAUCCUUUCAAACGCAAAUUAAAAUAACAUCUACGCAUCAAGGAAUACUUCUUCUCUGCAGCUAUGAUGAAGCAACAGCAACAUAUGAAACCUAUCAAACUGUCUCAUAAAUCAUAUAAGGAAAAUUAAGUUAUGCUCUGGAAUGUAUAUUCUUUGACCAACAGGUGUUAUAUACAAUCUGAGGGCUGGAUCCCGCUCUGUAUUAGUGCACAGCAGCUAUAGUGCAGGUGAUUACAAAGAUAGAUUGUAGACUUGAAGCAGAAGAUCUAUUAAAAGAUGGAGUUGCCUGGCAUCAAUCCCAGGCUUAUUUCUGUAUCUGGAGGCUUACAGCAUGGGCCUGGACUUAAUGUGCUAAAUACAAUAGCCUAAAUUACUUUGGCUUCAGAGGGUAAUUGACUGAUUAGCACAGAGAGUAACAAUCAUCCAAACUGUGUCCUGGUUUUGUAAAUAUGCCAAUUGAAUUACUCUCUGCCCACCACAUUUAUUUCUUGAACCGGAGCAAGAAGCGGUGAGUGUUUUUCUCUCUUACUUUCACAAAAUCCUUUUUAUAGCAGCGGACGUCCCUGGAGCGGCGGCAGGUUUAGCAGGUGUUAACCUCUCUCUGGGAGGCUCCCUCCUGAGGCAACACACAGUCUAGCAGAGCAACACUUCUCAUUCCCCGAGCAGCUUGCAGUCUGCCAAUCACAUAAAGGUGGAGAUGAUGGACAGGCGAAUGAGUCUCCCUUAGUCCCUAAGUAAUAUUACUUUCUGUUCCUUUUCAGCACACCACAAAGACAAACUUCAACGUCUUCUUAUGACAGCUCCACAACAACUUUUCAUUAACUUUCUUUUCAUUUUCUAGUUAUGUUUACAAUGUCUGAUGUAAUCCAUCUGUAUUGAUUAACUAGAUUCAUUGUUGGAUCACAUUCCUGUUACCAAUAAACAGACUGCAGCUUUAUUCUAUCGUUGUUACAGACAUGAAACUGUAUGUUACUAGCGCCCUGCAGAGGUUUUGUUCCAAUCACAUUUUGCACUUUAUUGUAAUUGUUAUUCCUACAGCAGAUAGACCUCCUUGUGGCUUUAAAGGGACCACUUUCCUUUGGGGCUCCUUGUUACUCUGCCGGAGCAGCAGAUAGUAUUGAUCCUGUUUGUCAGAUAUAAAGCUUGAUUUACUUGCAUGGUUCUGAUUUGUGUUGCUGUUGUUGUUUUGUGUACUCCCUUGGAUAUAGUUUAUUCACAAGUACAGUUGACUGUCGG